AUACCUUUCUUGGCCUUUUGGCUAUGAUCAAGUGAAGUAUUUGUUCUUAUCAGUUUAAUAUCUGAUAUAUGGGCUAUUGGCUCACAUGAUAUUAAAUUUAUUUUUUGAGUGGGAAAGUCCAUUAAGGUAGCUUGCUAUGGGCUUUCAUGUUUCGCAUUUGUGUUGCACUAUUGUAUAGGCCUGGCGCACCCCAC